ACUUCCUGGUACCAGGGCUGCUGACAGAGCUGAAAGGGAGGUCUCUGUUUCACUGCUGGUCCAGGUUAGGCUGCGCUGACACCUGCGUUUAGGGUCCCAAGCUUGGGAGAGAGGCAGGACCUCGGCCUCAGCCCCCCUCUGCAUCGUGCCGUUUAGUCUCCAUUCCCAUCUCUUAUCACACGGGUUCCGUCAGUUCCACAUUCACGCACCCUGCCCGGGUCUCUUCGCUGUAUCUGAGCAUUCGGUCCAGACAACCAGCUCCACCUUAAAUGAAGCCGGGCGUUCGGUCCAGAUAAUCGUGUCUACCUUAAGCGAAGCCGUAAGUUCCAGCCUCUCCCUUCUCGCCCUUCACCCCAGGUUUCAGAUUGGAUUCCAGGACCACGGAGUUCAGGUUAGCAGGGAGCUCUCCCAAUGUGGGGCAGACGGCGCACGGCUCUCCCUGCAGGGCACGAGGAACUCCGCAAUGUCACAGAGUUUCCCAAACACAUGGACUGAACCAGAUACUUACCAGGCCUGAGGAUUCAGAACCAGAGCAGUCCAAACCCUGGAAGAAGCGUGCCAAAUGUUGUCACUGACAGACUGACACAGCACAGCAACAUUUCCUCAACAGCUGUUCACAUUAAAACACCAAGAGGUUAUAAGAUACAAUGCUAGCAUCACAGAUUUCUGUCUGCUUCAUUUUAUUUUCUUUGUAAAUAACUUCUUUGGCUCUUUUUCUGGGCGAGAGAAGCACAGUGGGUGAUUCUAAAUUUGAGGAGGGGGGCUGUCUAAAAGCUUUCAUGUCAGAAAAGCCAAGCACGAGCGAUGACAAAACUGAUACGAGCAGGGGCGGCAUGGCUCCCAGAGUCCUCAUUUUGAUUGGCAAGCGCACGGCCCCCCUGGUAGCUCUACGUGAGUUGGGACAGGGCUGUGGGGAAGCGACUCAGGGUGCUGUGCUCCUCGUGGUUGGGUCACAGCUCACCUCAACCACAGGGGGUGACUACUGCUGUGUUCCUGGCCCAGCAACAAAGGAAUGCAAACUGCCACCCUGCUGCUGUUCUGAACAGCAAUGUAAUAUCUGGCUGAAAUUCUACCUACACUCAUUCCCCCGCCUCCUCAGUGGUCAUCACCU